rnacentral:lncRNA from 1 species
GGAACCGCCUAAGACACCACCCCAGCCAGCAUGGCCGGCAGGAGCGCACCGCGCUGUCUCCCUCCAGGGAUCCGCACCGCCCUACAAUCCUGCUUUGUGCUGAGAUUGUAGUCCUGCAGGCGUACAACUAACAAGCUGGGUGCAGAUAAGAGACUACAGCUCCCCGCAUCCCAAGCAAAGGUCCCUCCUCUACGGAGCCCCUCCACGCGUCCACUGCGGUUCCGCCGUGCCAAGGGGAGCUUGGCUGUUCACGGGCCUCACCUGCUAGCGAGAAGAUAGCUUGGCCGGGCGGCUGAUCUCACCUUGUAAUUCUGACACUGUGUCUCCCGGGCUUGUCGGCUUCAUGACUUGUGCCCAAAGUUUGAUUUCUCGCAGACCAGGUAAAAGCCAAGAGGCUCUCAUAGGCGCCUUGGCAGAGUUGCCAUUGGAACGGGCGUCCUCUAGUAGCUGGGAUCUCCCCGCCCCUUCCUCCUGAGGGGCCACUCCUUUCUGCCCCACCCUUCUUAUUGCCCCACCCUUUGCCACACUCCUUCAGAGAUGCGCAGUGCUGCCCCUUUCUAUGGGCAGGGCCGAAGGUCCGCGUGUAAAAGUACCCAGUCCCUGGUAACCUGACACUUCCCUUUUAAAAGCCACCUUUUGUCUAUCUCUGGCCUGCCACGAUUCUUCCUGUGCUCCAUAGGAGGACCCAUUGGACCCCCGGGCUGGCUGCAGGGCCCACACCUGGGUUAGACCUCGCACAGGGACGCUGCUGCCACUGUAAUAAAGCGUGCCUACACGCUUCUGAAACUGGUGUAGGAACAACCUCAGUUCUGUGAAAGGCGGACGCAGCAGGACAGAAUCUCCGUGGACAUCUGUCUGGAGGAGCAAUUUUACUGCGACAUUUUAAAGAAACAAAUUUAAUUGAUUUCCAAGACUGGAGUGGGUUCAUAUUUAUCAUGCUGGAAGGAGUGUAGAAAAAUAGAGGAAUGAAGAAGGAAAACAACGCAAGUCAUUCUAUGUACUGUGGAAACAAACUGACAGUGGGUUUAGAAAAAAACAACAGAGGAAGAAGGUCUGAGUAGUCCCAGGUAAUUGGGAAACCGAGAAGGGAAGACCACUCGGGUGAGACCAGGGAGAUCGAAGCCACAGUAAAUCACGAUCACAUCCCUCUGCUGGACCUGAACGGUACUGCCGCCUGCAAGAGCCAUCUGGUCGACCUUAGACAUGACAAGGCGAGAACCAUCUGGUCAACCUUAGACAUGGCACUCUUGUGGCUAAGUCCAACUCUAGUUGCUGAAAUACGUCUCAAAAAAACAAAAACAA